CCCCCGCGGAGGCGCCACCUCUACGUGGUGCGGGGGAGGCAACUGCCCAAAAGGGCAGGCGAAGAGCGCC
rnacentral:ribozyme from 1 species